GGUCGGGAUUCACCGAGGGCUUCUGGGCUUCCGACGAGCCGUAGGUUUUGGUGGGGGCUUAGGCAUCCGGGUUGCAGCUUAGCUGCAUCGUUAGGCCGACGCCUUUUGCUCUUUUUACCAAAUCCUAAGCUGAGGAUCAGAUCCCGCGUUACGUGUUCCUGCCUGCGUCCGUUCCCGAGGGCCCGUGGCGCAGGGCCGGCCGGCAGCAGCAGCCCCUGGCGCAGGGCCUCGCGCUGAGCCCUGACAGGCCGCGGCCGCGACACGGGGGGAGGGAAAGGAGAACAUCGUCUACAUGUUUGGACAAAUUCAUCUUUCUGCCCUUCACUUCAUAUCCACGUCAAAGUCCAACACCAGCAGCUUUGUCUCCUCAGUCCCGUUCCGGCUUCCGACUGCGCACACUAGCUUUGUGUUUGAAGCUCUGAUCCGCCACACGACGCCUCCACUCCCCCCACUCUCCAAUGUGACUAGAUUUCGGAUAAAUUCACCCGUUUUCAAGUCCCAAAGUUUUACAGUUCCAUCAUCUGAACUGAUUUUGACGGUAGAAUCGGCAUUCCCAGACACCAGUAUAUUGUCCUUGAGUUCCAUUCCACUUGUUAAAGACUGGUGGCCUGUUAGCGUGUGAAUGCAGUUUCCUGUCUCCACAUCCCAGACUCGGAUGGAGGUGUCAAGAGAUCCACUCACCACAUGGAUACCAUCAAACUACAAGAAAGUCCUCAGACAUGUGAAUGUAAGCUAGCACCAGGAGCAACUGAGUAUGAACUUCAUCAAGAAUGGGGAAGAACCGCAAAAGGCAAGCUGUUUUAAGGCAGUCUCAGAGACAUCUGCUGCUAUCUUUGAGAACUCACGGAAGAUAGAUGAGGUUCAGAUGUGCCUGGGAGUGAUGCUUUGACUGUGUUAAUGAAGAUGUUGAUCUGUUGGGUUAGUAAAGGUUAUGUGUCGAAAUUUUAGAAGCAUUUUCUAAUGAAGUAUGGACUAGAUGAGCUGACAGUGAGGUGGACUGAAAACUGGCUGAAUGAUGGCUCUUAAAGGGUUGUGAUCAGUGGCGCAAAGUCCAGUCAGAGACCUCUAGCUAGCAGAAUCUCCCAGGGGUCAGUACUGGGUCCAGUCUUGUUCAGCUUACUGAUUCAUCAGUGACCUGGAUGAGGGGACAGAGUGCACCCUUAGCAAGUUUGCUGAAGACACAAAACUGGGAGGAGCUGCUGAUUCACCAGCGGGCUGUGCUGCCAUUCACGGGGAUCUCAACUGGCUGGAAAGAUGGGCAGAUGAGCCUCAUGAAGUUCAACAAAGCGAUGUGCAGAAUCCCAAACACUAGUAUAGGCUGGGGGUGACCUGCUGAAAAGCAGCUCUGUGGAGAACGACCUGGGAAUCCUGGUGAAAAACAAGUUGACCAUGAGCUAGCAGUGUGUCCUUGUGGCCAUGAAGGUCACGGGUAUCCUGGGCUGCAUUAGGCAGAGUAUUGCCAGCAGGUCAGGGGAGGUGAUCCUGCCCCUCUACUUAGCACUGGUGAAGCCACAACUGGAAUGCUGGGUCCACUGCUGGGCUCCCCAGUACAAGAGAAGCAUGUUGCUACUGGAGCAAGUCCAGCAAAGGGCUACUAAAAUGAUGAAGGGACUGGAGCAUCUGUCACACAAGGAGAGGUCAAGAGAACUAGGACUGUUCAGCCUGGAGAUGUGAACGUUCAGGGAGAGCUUAUCAAUGUGCAUUAACACCUGAUCAGAGGGUAUAAAGAAGGAGCCAGACUGUUCUCAGUGGUGUCCAGUGACACGACAAGAGGCAAUGGGCACAAACUGAAACACAGGAAAUUCUGUUUGAACAGCAGAAAACACUUCUUCACCGUGAAGGUGGUGGAACACGAAGACAGAUUGCCUAGAAAUGUUAUGGAGUCUCCAUCCUUGGAAAUAUUCAAAAGCCAUCUGCAUUUGGUCCUAGGACACCUGCUCUACAUGACCCUGCUUGAGCUGGGGGAGCUGGACUGGAGGAUCUCCAAAAGGCCCUUCUGAUGUGAACCAUUCUAGGAUUCAAUAAACGUGGUGGAAAUUAUAAGCCAAACUAUGGCUGUAGCUUUCAACAAGCUCUUACCUUUUCUCAUGGAGAUGCAUACAACGCACAGUAGAGGUAUGUCCAUACAAAGUGUGUAUGCAUUCUCCAGUUUCAGCAUUCCAGACUUUCAAUGUUCGGUCUGUAGAUCCGCUGAUGAUAAUAUUGUCCCUCAUCUGUGAUGACCAGACUCCACCUGUGUGCCCAACUAGUGUUCUCAAACACUGAAAAUACAUAUUUUGCUUAGUUGACAGAGUGGAAGCAAAAUUCAAGGAAUGCAUAAAGCAAAAAAGUAACCUAUGAGAUAGCAGUAAUCUUGUUCAUCUAUAAUUAGCCAGAAGAUUCCCAGAGAUUGCUUCAUAAUUGAACUAAAAAAUCUCAUCUUUCAGAAAAUAUUCAUCACAUUUCUCUAUGCAUUGUUGGUACUUUGAUGAUUAUGAAGCUUCUCUAUGAGCUUUCUUUUGGUUGCACUAGACUCUCUUUCCAAAUUUCUCAUUACAAGUCAUGUUUCUGCAGCCUUGAGUUAGUCUUUUUGCUGGCAUUCUUUCUGAGUCACUGCAGUUUUUUCUCAGUAUUUUUUUGAAGCAUAAACGUUAGAACUACAGGAAAGCAAGUUUUACCACCAAUAUAUAAACCAUCUAUUGUUUCAUUUUUUUUUUGUUAUCCAAAAAAAAUUACAUGCUACAAGCUGUAGCUACAGCCCUAAUACUGUGAAAUCAUGUUUCAAACAUACUCUUGUCUAGGAGAGAAUCUCAUGUUACAUAAGCAUGGCCUACCUUCUUUGAUCCUACAUGUAUGACACUGUUUUUUAACCACGUAGAAACCAUGUUUUGCUCGCACAUGCAUAAAACCUAGAUCACCCUGGAACAAUGACCUGUCUCUGUCUCUCAGUUUGUAUUGCUUAUCAGUGAUGAUUAUACAUACAUAUAUUUGUAGUUGUUUUUUAACCAACAAUCUAUAAGCAGUAAUUAGUGCAGACAUGAACAGAUUCUAGCAAAUCCCGACUAGAAACACGCUCCAUUUAAGAUUCCGCUUUUACAUUAACAACACAAUAACUGUUAAUUAUCUGCUUUCUGAUCCAUUUAAGUAUGUUCCAUGUUGAUUUUUGCAUUGCUCCUUUUUCUUAAAUUGUGUCAUGGGAUACAGCUUUGUGAUAACAUACAUAGCCAUCUAUUUUUAUCUGUCAAACCUGUAACUGCAUGAGAACAGAGGUCAAGACACUUUGAUAGUCUUUUUCUGUAACCUAAUGCUGAGUGGCAUUAAUUUCCAUGGCCCUCCUUUAACUGUUAGCUGACUCCUCUUAAAGUAGUCCAUUAUUUUUUUUUCUGAGAUAAUAUAUCCCAAUUACCCAGUCUUUCAGUUUAUUGCAUUAAAUAUUGAUUUAAAAAAUUAAACAUUUUAGCUUUCUGCCAAUCUGUUGGAUCUUCUCCAGGACUCUGAUACCUUUUGAAAAAAAACAAAAGAAAAAAAAGACCCCUAACUGCAUGCCUCAGGUAGCUUUUGGGGGAAAAAAAAAAUAGAUACAGUCUAUCUGGAUCUACUGUAAUAAAAACGCCUGACUUUGGUAGUAGUAGUUUAACAUCCUGUGAGUUUCUGUUGAAAUAAAUUG